CAACCAUAAAAACUGGACCUCAGUUUAACCAGUUUCAAGAUAAUCAUUGGAAUGGACUGUGCUGACCUACAGGAGCUUGUGAUAUCUGGAAGGAGUGUCCUCCUAGCCAACCUGAGAAUUUAUGAAGCAAUCUUGCCCCUAGUUACUGUGACAGGCCCUGGGUACCACUGUGAAAGCCACCAGAAUGAAGAUUUGAAUCAUCAAGAGUUGUCUUUCCUCCAAAGAUGGAUGGCUUUAUACUGACUUCAAACCUUUUUUCUUUUAUUAUGUGCUGUAUGUCUCUAUUUCCAGAAAUGUAUCAUUCUUCUAUUACAAAAAAUUAUGUUAAAAAUCUGUAUAAUUUAGGAU